GAUGAACGCUGGCGGCGUGCCUAAUACAUGCAAGUCGAGCGAACGGACGAGAAGCUUGCUUCUCUGAUGUUAGCGGCGGACGGGUGAGUAACACGUGGAUAACCUACCUAUAAGACUGGGAUAACUUCGGGAAACCGGAGCUAAUACCGGAUAAUAUUUUGAACCGCAUGGUUCAAAAGUGAAAGACGGUCUUGCUGUCACUUAUAGAUGGAUCCGCGCUGCAUUAGCUAGUUGGUAAGGUAACGGCUUACCAAGGCAACGAUGCAUAGCCGACCUGAGAGGGUGAUCGGCCACACUGGAACUGAGACACGGUCCAGACUCCUACGGGAGGCAGCAGUAGGGAAUCUUCCGCAAUGGGCGAAAGCCUGACGGAGCAACGCCGCGUGAGUGAUGAAGGUCUUCGGAUCGUAAAACUCUGUUAUUAGGGAAGAACAUAUGUGUAAGUAACUGUGCACAUCUUGACGGUACCUAAUCAGAAAGCCACGGCUAACUACGUGCCAGCAGCCGCGGUAAUACGUAGGUGGCAAGCGUUAUCCGGAAUUAUUGGGCGUAAAGCGCGCGUAGGCGGUUUUUUAAGUCUGAUGUGAAAGCCCACGGCUCAACCGUGGAGGGUCAUUGGAAACUGGAAAACUUGAGUGCAGAAGAGGAAAGUGGAAUUCCAUGUGUAGCGGUGAAAUGCGCAGAGAUAUGGAGGAACACCAGUGGCGAAGGCGACUUUCUGGUCUGUAACUGACGCUGAUGUGCGAAAGCGUGGGGAUCAAACAGGAUUAGAUACCCUGGUAGUCCACGCCGUAAACGAUGUGUGCUAAGUGUUAGGGGGUUUCCGCCCCUUAGUGCUGCAGCUAACGCAUUAAGCACUCCGCCUGGGGAGUACGACCGCAAGGUUGAAACUCAAAGGAAUUGACGGGGACCCGCACAAGCGGUGGAGCAUGUGGUUUAAUUCGAAGCAACGCGAAGAACCUUACCAAAUCUUGACAUCCUUUGACAACUCUAGAGAUAGAGCCUUCCCCUUCGGGGGACAAAGUGACAGGUGGUGCAUGGUUGUCGUCAGCUCGUGUCGUGAGAUGUUGGGUUAAGUCCCGCAACGAGCGCAACCCUUAAGCUUAGUUGCCAUCAUUAAGUUGGGCACUCUAAGUUGACUGCCGGUGACAAACCGGAGGAAGGUGGGGAUGACGUCAAAUCAUCAUGCCCCUUAUGAUUUGGGCUACACACGUGCUACAAUGGACAAUACAAAGGGCAGCGAAACCGCGAGGUCAAGCAAAUCCCAUAAAGUUGUUCUCAGUUCGGAUUGUAGUCUGCAACUCGACUACAUGAAGCUGGAAUCGCUAGUAAUCGUAGAUCAGCAUGCUACGGUGAAUACGUUCCCGGGUCU
rnacentral:rRNA from 1 species